rnacentral:rRNA from 1 species
UACGAAGGGGGCUAGCGUUGCUCGGAAUCACUGGGCGUAAAGGGUGCGUAGGCGGGUCUUUAAGUCAGGGGUGAAAUCCUGGAGCUCAACUCCAGAACUGCCUUUGAUACUGAAGAUCUUGAGUUCGGGAGAGGUGAGUGGAACUGCGAGUGUAGAGGUGAAAUUCGUAGAUAUUCGCAAGAACACCGGUGGCGAAGGCGGUCUGCUGGGCAGUUGCUGACGCUGAGGCGCGACAGCGUGGGGAGCAAACAGG